GCCCCCGUAGCUCAGCUGGACAGAGCAAGUCCCUUCUAAUGACAAGGUCGCAGGUUCGAAUCCUGCCGGGGGCG
rnacentral:tRNA from 1 species